GGUCCGUUAGCUCAGUCCAGCAGAGCGCCCGCUUGUCGAGCGGAGGGGCGCGGGAGCAAAGCCCGCACGGACCGCCA
rnacentral:tRNA from 1 species